rnacentral:rRNA from 1 species
GAGUUUGAUCCUGCUCAGAUGAACCCUGCCGGCGUGCCUAAUACAUGCGACGAGCGAUCAGAUGAGAAGCUUCUUCUCUUGAUGUUAUCGCGGACGGGUGAGUAAAGUGAUUAACCUACCUAUAACCUGGGAUAACUCCGGGAAACCGGGUAAUAACUGAUAAUAUUUUGACGCAUGGUUCAAUAGUAAAGACGGCUCGGCGUCACUAUAAUGGUGCGCCGUUUAGCUAGGGUAAGGUCACGCUUACAAGCACAUGCGUACCGACCUGAGAGGGUGAUCGCCCGCUGGAACUGAGGCCGGUCCAGCUCCUCGGGAGGCACAGUAGGGAAUCUUCCGCAAUGGCGAAAGCCUGGCGACAACGCGCGUGAGUGAUGAAGGUUUUCGGAUCGUAAAACUCUGUUGUUAGGGAAGAACAAAUUUGUUAGUAACUGAACAAGUCUUGUCGGUACCUAGCAGAGAGCACGGCUAGGGGUCAAAAA